GUACAGAUUCUGUCACGAGUUCUGUGUGGUGAUGUAGAAGUGGAGGGAACCAUGUUUGCGAAAGUGAGCUUAAUGCUGGAAAAUUUCUCACCCCUAAAGUUGAGUGUCCAUGGCUAGCUAUGAACACAU
ensembl:snoRNA SNORA66 Small nucleolar RNA SNORA66